rnacentral:rRNA from 1 species
GACGAACGCUGGCGGCGUGCUUAACACAUGCAAGUCGAACGGAAAGGCCCUGCUUUUGUGGGGUGCUCGAGUGGCGAACGGGUGAGUAACACGUGAGUAACCUGCCCUUGACUUUGGGAUAACUUCAGGAAACUGGGGCUAAUACCGGAUAGGAGCUCCUGCUGCAUGGUGGGGGUUGGAAAGUUUCGGCGGUUGGGGAUGGACUCGCGGCUUAUCAGCUUGUUGGUGGGGUAGUGGCUUACCAAGGCUUUGACGGGUAGCCGGCCUGAGAGGGUGACCGGCCACAUUGGGACUGAGAUACGGCCCAGACUCCUACGGGAGGCAGCAGUGGGGAAUAUGGCACAAUGGGCGGAAGCCUGAGGCAGCAACGCCGCGUGCGGGACGACGGCCUUCGGGUUGUAAACCGCUUUCGCCUGUGACGAAGCGUGAGGGACGGGAAUGGGUAAAGAAGCACCGGCUAACUACGU